GCCCCGGUAGUGUAGCCCGGCCAAUCAUUCAGCCCUUUCAAGGCUGAGACUCGGGUCCGAAUCCCGGCCGGGGCA
rnacentral:tRNA from 1 species